UCUGGUAAACAACUCAUGCUUCUUAGUUUGUGUUUACUAGUGCUUUCGGUUAAACUAUCUGUGUUUUAGUCCAUUAGGGCACCAUUGGAAGUAGUGUUAGUAUUAUUUAGAGUAGUCCAAUGGUGAAAGGGACCUAUAUGUUUGCACCUUGUGUCGUGAGGCCAACAUUUAUGUAACUUUGGCUUUGGACGGAUCGCAUCAACAAGUGUUUAUUGCCACAAACAAUUCUACCCGUGACAAUAUUAUAUCAAUCCAGCUGUUAUGCAUUCACAUUGGUAUGCUCUUCAUUUCUUAUAGGUUUUUCCAGAUAUAGCUCACGCUCGAUGUCAUAUUCACGCGUGGAGAAAUAUUAAGAAGAAAUUGAAAAGUAUUGGAAUCACUGCGAAGCCAGAAACAGCCAAGUACCACGAGCAAUUUUAUGAACUUUUGCAUCAAGAAAAUUACGAACAAUACUGCGCAAGUCUGGAAAUUUUGCAACGCCAUGUUUGGAAGAAGGAAUUUUUGCUGUAUUUUGAAAUACAUAUACACCCAGACAUGAAAAAUAUGGGAGUGUGGGCGCUUAAAAACUACGGCGUAAACCAUCUCCUUCAGACCCACCGACAAGAAUCUUUCAACUCCCUAUUGAAAAGGAGAUUUGUUAAGCAUCGAGGGUAUGAAGAGGAAGAAGUCAUAGAAGGUUGUUCCGAAAUUGUUCAGCUUCGAUUGCUUCGAUGCAAAAAGGCGAAACAUUCCGCUGGAGAAAAUUGGCUUGUGCGUGAGCAUUUAAGAAAGGAUUACUCCUUAGAAGACGACAUUAGUGAGUUGUUUGAUCUGGAUACCGAAUUGAUAGAGAGAAAAAAAAGAUCUAAUCGAGUUGAUUAGCGCUCCCAUAGGCCGUCCAAGAAAUACGUUCCUAGUUCCACCGUCCUUAGUAGAGUAAAGUUGAUUGUACUAGAAAACCGGACUUCCUUGGCUCCGUUACAAAAAUAUUUUGCGGUGACCACACACGGUGGACAGAAACAUGCGGUUACUUUGUUUUCUGGUGAAAAUGGAGAACCGCACCAAACUUGCACCUGUGCAUCCACCGUCACUUGUUCUCACAUAAUGGCUGCCACGAUGUCAAUCGGGUAUGUUCCGAAAGCAUCAAACAAAAGAGGCAAUUUCAGAGGAAAAGCAAAAAGGUAGUAGUGUUGAAUAUGAAAUGUUGGAAAUAACAAUACUACAUAUUGUUAAUUAUAUUCAUUAGGGGAAAACACACAUUGAAGAUAUCUUUUCAUGCAACCCUUUGGCAGAAGAGGCAAAAAUAGAUCGGAUAGAAUCUGAACAUUUAAAGAAGCAUGAAAAAUAUGAAAACAAAAAAAAAGAGUCGGAAAGCGAAAACGAUAACUACAGUGCGUUAGAUCCUCUUUCUGUAAAAAGCAAUAAACACAAAUCUUUUUUGCUGGAAAAGAAGAUGAACGAUGCUUCCGACGCCAAAAUUGCUUCUGACGAAAAGAAAGAGAAUUUCUCAGACUGGUACGAAUCUUCAGAUAUCGAUUCCGAUACAAGCUUUGGACUUGAAAAAGUUGCGCGCAGGGAGGAAGAAAGGGAAGCAGCACGCGCUAAAUGGAAUUAUGAUCAAAUAUUACGAUUUGAACAUUUCUUUCCGGAUUUACAUCAACCAGAAAACAAAAAAACUGACUUUUUAAAAGAAAAAGUAAAAUUUUUGUAUUCAGUUGUUAUGAAAUUGUUAAUUUUUUUCUACAUUUUAAAUUAAAGAUUGAGGUCCCUGUUAGAAAUAGGAGGCAAGCAGAGGCUUCCGCCUGUUACUGCCCGUACUCUCUCUGUCGUCUGUAAUGUCACCUACUUCUAUAUAAAGUGUUUUACAAUCUGUCCUCUUUCAGUUUCAGUUGUCUCAAUAAAAGGAAUCGCUGCAUUUUGAUUGUCCUGUUGUAUAUUUAUUGGGCAAAGUUCAACAGUCCCAAGCCACUCUUUCGCUCUAAACGUGUCUGACAACACUUACUAUUCCGUUGAUGAAAUCAACUUUCAACUUAAGUAACCUGAAAUACUGUGGGGACCGUUAUUGAGGUAACAAAAGUCAUCGGACAACGCCCAGGAUCUCGAUGUGCCACUGGCGCACAGGCGCGCAGGAUGAAGGGAAAAUAUAUACAUCAAUUAUAAUAUAUCUAUAUAAUAAUAAUAUCUAUAUAAUAUACCAAACAUUUAUAUUUUCUAUAAUAUAUAUAAAUGUUCAUAAUUUAUAAAUUAUAUAUUUUUGGUUUAGAAUAACUGUUGCAAUAACAGUUUAAGUGUAUUAUAUUAUUAAAUUAGUCCAAAUGAAGUUUGUAUAAAAGCAAAGUAAAUAAUACAAAAACACAUUAAGAUAUUUUAAAAGUAUAUUUCUUGAUAAAACAUAAACGAUAAAACUUUCGUAAUAAAAAAUCAAUUGGUUUUAUCGACUUCACGAUCUAUUUAAUUUUUUAAUUCGUUGAAUUUUUUCAGCCAAGCAACACUGUCCUUCGAUUUAAUGUUGAAUUUUUGGCUGAUUUUCAUCUCAACCGCUGAUUUCGUCUUCGAAUCUAGAGCCCCAUACAUCUCAGUUAUGGAAAGCUCCUUUACCCUUAUUGGGAUUUUCAAAUCGAACCCAAUCUUCGCAUUCGUAUUGGUUUUUUUAUGGAGCUCCAAAAACUCCCGAGAACACAAUUCUCUAACCAACUUGAGAGCAAAGCCCGCUGGAUGUUGAGGGUACUUCGCCUUCAUCCUCUUUAUCAGACUUUUUCUUAUGGGAUACGCAUCCUAGAAAUAAAAAGUUUGUUAAUGAACAAUCUAUUUUUUUCAGUGAAUUUAUUACAAUAAAGCAUAUACAGUAUAUUUUUACAUCAAUGUACAUAUAUAAAAUAUAUAAUAUAUAAGUUAUAUAUAUAAUGUAUAUAUAUAAUUUAUACAUCAGGCACGCAAUGUAUGAAAGAUAUAAACAAUGUAAAUAAUACUCUAUGUAUAAUGUAUAAUUAUUUUCUUACCUUGUUUGAAUAGUACCCUUGUUUGUUGGUUUUCUUUAUAGAAAUCCUUCUUUUCAGCUCUUCCAAUUUCGUAACUUUUUCUACUACUCCAUCUUCAUCACUUUCUUCAUCUUCAUCGCUUUUUUCAUCUUCAGUUGCAUUUUCAUCAUCAGUGUCACUCUCUUCGUUGGCACUUUCCGGAUAUUCAGCCUCGUCCCUCUCAUUUUCAGUAUGAUUCUUUUCUUUAAGUUAUUGUUUAAGAGCGGCAUUUUCUCUUUUCAAUUCGUCAAGUUCCCAAAGAGAUUUUUUUGAUUGCUAUGUAUGUAUGUAAAGAAAAACUUUGAUACGAUAUUUACUACCUUUUCGAGAAUCGCUAUUCUAUUUCGAUUAGACUCCUUCGAUAUUGG